rnacentral:misc_RNA from 1 species
CCGCGGUAAUUCCAGCUCCAAUAGCGUAUAUUAAAGUUGCUGCAGUUAAAAAGCUCGUAGUUGAAUUUCGUGACCAUCAUGUCGGUCGUGCCUCGGUACGUACUGGCAUUGUUGGUUUCUCCCUUCUGACGAACCAUGAUGUCAUUUAUUUGGUGUUGUGGGAAAUCAGGACUGUUACUUUGAAAAAAUUAGAGUGUUUAAAGCAGGCUCACGCUUGAAUACAUUAGCAUGGAAUAAUGAAAUAGGACGUUUGAUUCUAUUUUGUUGGUUUCUAGGAUCGACGUAAUGAUUAAUAGGGAUAGUUGGGGGCAUUAGUAUUCAAUUGUCAGAGGUGAAAUUCUUGGAUUUAUUGAAGACUAACUACUGCGAAAGCAUUUGCCAAGGAUGUUUUCAUUAAUCAAGAACGAAAGUUAGGGGAUCGAAGACGAUCAGAUACCGUCGUAGUCUUAACCAUAAACUAUGCCGACUAGGGAUCGGAUGAUGUUAAUUUUUUAAUGACUCAUUCGGCGCCUUACG